rnacentral:rRNA from 1 species
UACGAAGGGGGGCUAGCGUUGCUCGGAAUUACUGGGCGUAAAGCGCACGUAGGCGGCUUCUUAAGUCGGUGGUGAAAUCCUGGAGCUCAACUCCAGAACUGCCUCGAUACUGGGAGCUCGAGUCCGGGAGAGGUGAGUGGAACUGCGAGUGUAGAGGUGAAAUUCGUAGAUAUUCGCAAGAACACCAGUGGCGAAGGCGGCUCACUGGCCCGGUACUGACGCUGACGGUGCGAAAGCGUGGGGAGCAAACAGGG